CGGGGGACGCCCGCACAAAAUGGCGGCCGCUAGCUGGCGGUCACGUGCGCAUCGCGGUAGGGCGGGUAGCGCUAGGUGGGGGUCGUGCUGCGCCCGGGUAUUUGUGUCGUGAGUUUACCUACGUUUGUUCUCCCGGGUAACAGCGAUAGGAUGAGAGGUAACGGCCUCAAGUUGCACCGGGUUCAGGUUGCGUAUGAGGAGAAAUUUCUUCUCAGGAAGAGUGAUGAUGUCUUGUAAGUUACAGUAGCUAAAUAGAACGUGAGGCUUGUGGGUGGGGGUCUCUGUGGUAAUCUUGUGUGUUUCUGCUGGCAGUGGGUCGGUGCAGCUGCGUGCCAGAACUAAAUCCCCGCCCUUGGGGUUUUCCCAGGGAGUGCUCUGCCACACAGGCUUCGUGUUGUCACUGGAUUAAAAAUAGAGUUCCCUCUUGGUUCUGUUGAGCAGCAGUUUAAGGUUUAUUGAUGCCAUGAGGUAAAUAAAAGGGUUGGAUUUUAACAAAACUUUGUCGUUAGCCGCUUUGAAGAUUAAUAAAGCAAGUUAGUGAAAUAUGUGGUAACUAAAUGAUGACUUGAUUACAGAUUUGUGGAUGACAAGGUUCACACUAAACAACAGGGUGUCUUAAAUUGAUGUGCAUGUACAGAUGCAAAGCACACUCUUACAGAUGUACUGAAAUAUGUGGCUCCUGUGAGAUAUCUCAGCACCCGUGCUUGUGAAACGUGUCUCAUUAAAGCAUAUAUAAGAAAUGAGGUGGCUGGGAGAAGAAUGAGCUUAGCUUAUAGUUAAAACUUCCUUCUACUCAAAUUUAGAGCAGAUUCUUGCAAUAUACUGUUAUUCUUCUACCAGCACUAAUUGAGGCUGGCUACAAUAGGAUGUCUGGCAUCCAUCCAUGGAUGGCCUUGAGGAUCUGGAGGACCUGAGAGGUGCCCCAACCUGGGGGAGAUGCUGGUCACAGCUUGUUGUGAUCCAGAAGAGUUCUAAGGGUUUCUCUUACCUUGGGAGCAUAAAUAGUUAUUUUAUUUGACUUUUGUCAGGUACUUUUCCAUACCAGCCCCCUUGGAUGGCAAAAAAUAUUCUGGUACUUCUGACCAGUUAUGCAAUGCCCAGAGCUUGCUGGAUUCAUGAAUUCUGUGCUACCUGCCUUAGCCUGUGAUCCAGAUACAGAUGUACUGGGCUGUCAGGAGAUAAUCCAUCCCAGGAUAGCAGGGGCCAGGCACAAGGAAUGUCUUCAGGUGCUGGUCCUUUACCUUUCACCAUUUAUGCCAAGAUUGGCUUGUUGCCUAAGGAAAGGGAUUACACCAAGCAUGGAGGGGCCUAAUAUAAAGGUGGGGGGCAGUUGAACCACCCCACUCAGGAAAUAUGCUCAGUUAAUGCCAAUCAUUAAAGGAAGUGGAAGCUAUGACUUCACAUUACUGUUGUUCACUCCUCUCCUUUUCUCCUAUGGUUGAUAACGUUUGUGACCAUAAUUGAAUUACAAGUGUCUUGGGAAAUUUUUUUGAAGAUUCCCAGCACACUGCAAGUCUGCCUCCUGUGCAAGGAGGACAUAAUAGUAGUGGAGGUAAUUAAUGCUGAACUUCUUCCAGCUGAGAAUCCUAAGCAGAAGGUAUCAUUACACUUGAGGAGGCACAAGGUUGUGCUUCCUGGUAACCACAGAGCUGAUGUAUAUUUGGAGAUCUCUCCUCUGUUUGGAUGACACAAUGUAAAACUAGUU
ensembl:lncRNA